rnacentral:rRNA from 1 species
AUAGAUACCCGGGUAGUCCACGCCGUAAACGAUGAGUGCUAAGUGUUAGAGGGUUUCCGCCCUUUAGUGCUGCAGCUAACGCAUUAAGCACUCCGCCUGGGGAGUACGGCCGCAAGGCUGAAACUCAAAGGAAUUGACGGGGGCCCGCACAAGCGGUGGAGCAUGUGGUUUAAUUCGAAGCAACGCGAAGAACCUUACCAGGUCUUGACAUCCUCUGCCAACCCUAGAGAUAGGGCGUUCCCCUUCGGGGGACAGAGUGACAGGUGGUGCAUGGUUGUCGUCAGCUCGUGUCGUGAGAUGUUGGGUUAAGUCCCGCAACGAGCGCAACCCUUGAUCUUAGUUGCCAGCAUUCAGUUGGGCACUCUAAGGUGACUGCCGGUGACAAACCGGAGGAAGGUGGGGAUGACGUCAAAUCAUCAUGCCCCUUAUGACCUGGGCUACACACGUGCUACAAUGGAUGGUACAAAGAGCUGCGAACCCGCGAGGGUAAGCGAAUCUCAUAAAGCCAUUCUCAGUUCGGA